rnacentral:lncRNA from 1 species
CAAUACCCAGGAUCACCGUCAUUGGAAACCAGUGGCAUUGAAAAGCACACGAUGUCUCCAACAGUCAAACUAGUCUGCAGAUAGCUCAGUUGGGUUGGGUAUUCGGAGAACUAUUUGAGAUUGCAGGAAAUAUGCAAAGAACGUGCUUUUAGUAGAUGCAUGAGGAUGACGGAGAACAUCGUCGACGACGUUUUCGGGAUAGCUGAACAAUCCCUAAAACCCUUAAGUCCGUGGACCAGGAAUCGGGAUACUGUGGAGAAGCUGGAUAUACACAUCUAUGUAUAGCAUGUCCUUUUACCGGGCUCACGUCGCGUCGUCGCGGUACAUCAUCAAGCGUCGUCUAUGGAGCAUAGCUCAUUUAAGCAGCUUAUGUGCAACUCCUGCAAAUUAGGAAUUUCGAAUUUCUUCCCACGGGUUCAGUUAAUCAUGAUUUAAUGUGCACGCGCGCUAUUUUCACUCGUGCAGACUUAUACAUUAGGUAAAAAUAAAAAUUUACGGAAAGGAAGGAAGGAAAAAACGAACAAGGAGAACGGAAGAUGGAAAAUGGA